rnacentral:misc_RNA from 1 species
GAAAUGCGAUAAGUAAUGUGAAUUGCAGAAUUCAGUGAAUCAUCGAAUCUUUGAACGCACCUUGCGCUCCUUGUUAUUCCUUGGAGCAUGCCUGUUUGAGUAUCAUGAAAUCUUCAAAGUAAAUCUUUUGUUAACUCAAUUGGUUUCUACUUUGGUAUUGGAGGUCUUUGCAGCUUCACACCUGCUCCUCUUUGUUCAUUAGCUGGAUCUCAGUGUUAUGCUUGGUUCCACUCGGCGUGAUAAGUUAUCUAUCGCUGAGGACACUGUAAAAGGUGGCCAAGGUAAAUGCAGAUGAACCACUUCUAAUAGUCCAUUGACUUGGACAAUACUUUUAUGAUCUGAUCUCAAAUCAGGUAGGACUACCCGCUGAACUUAAGC